GCGCCCGUAGCUCAGCCGGAUAGAGCAACGGCCUUCUAAGCCGUGGGUCGCAGGUUCGAGUCCUGCCGGGCGCGCCA
rnacentral:tRNA from 8 species